AAAUUGAAGAGUUUGAUCAUGGCUCAGAUUGAACGCUGGCGGCAGGCCUAACACAUGCAAGUCGAGCGGUAGCACAGAAGAGCUUGCUCUUUGGGUGACGAGCGGCGGACGGGUGAGUAAUGUCUGGGAAACUGCCUGAUGGAGGGGGAUAACUACUGGAAACGGUAGCUAAUACCGCAUAACCUCGUAAGAGCAAAGAGGGGGACCUUCGGGCCUCUCGCCAUCAGAUGUGCCCAGAUGGGAUUAGCUAGUAGGUGAGGUAAUGGCUCACCUAGGCGACGAUCCCUAGCUGGUCUGAGAGGAUGACCAGCCACACUGGAACUGAGACACGGUCCAGACUCCUACGGGAGGCAGCAGUGGGGAAUAUUGCACAAUGGGCGCAAGCCUGAUGCAGCCAUGCCGCGUGUGUGAAGAAGGCCUUCGGGUUGUAAAGCACUUUCAGCGAGGAGGAAGGCGGUAAGGUUAAUAACCUUAUCGAUUGACGUUACUCGCAGAAGAAGCACCGGCUAACUCCGUGCCAGCAGCCGCGGUAAUACGGAGGGUGCAAGCGUUAAUCGGAAUGACUGGGCGUAAAGCGCACGCAGGCGGUCUGUUAAGUUGGAUGUGAAAUCCCCGGGCUUAACCUGGGAACUGCAUUCAAAACUGACAGGCUAGAGUCUUGUAGAGGGGGGUAGAAUUCCAGGUGUAGCGGUGAAAUGCGUAGAGAUCUGGAGGAAUACCGGUGGCGAAGGCGGCCCCCUGGACAAAGACUGACGCUCAGGUGCGAAAGCGUGGGGAGCAAACAGGAUUAGAUACCCUGGUAGUCCACGCUGUAAACGAUGUCGAUUUGGAGGUUGUGCCCUUGAGGCGUGGCUUCCGGAGCUAACGCGUUAAAUCGACCGCCUGGGGAGUACGGCCGCAAGGUUAAAACUCAAAUGAAUUGACGGGGGCCCGCACAAGCGGUGGAGCAUGUGGUUUAAUUCGAUGCAACGCGAAGAACCUUACCUACUCUUGACAUCCAGAGAAUUAGCUAGAGAUAGCUGAGUGCCUUCGGGAACUCUGAGACAGGUGCUGCAUGGCUGUCGUCAGCUCGUGUUGUGAAAUGUUGGGUUAAGUCCCGCAACGAGCGCAACCCUUAUCCUUUGUUGCCAGCGAUUCGGUCGGGAACUCAAAGGAGACUGCCGGUGAUAAACCGGAGGAAGGUGGGGAUGACGUCAAGUCAUCAUGGCCCUUACGAGUAGGGCUACACACGUGCUACAAUGGCGUAUACAAAGAGAAGCGACCUCGCGAGAGCAAGCGGACCUCAUAAAGUACGUCGUAGUCCGGAUUGGAGUCUGCAACUCGACUCCAUGAAGUCGGAAUCGCUAGUAAUCGUAGAUCAGAAUGCUACGGUGAAUACGUUCCCGGGCCUUGUACACACCGCCCGUCACACCAUGGGAGUGGGUUGCAAAAGAAGUAGGUAGCUUAACCUUCGGGAGGGCGCUUACCACUUUGUGAUUCAUGACUGGGGUGAAGUCGUAACAAGGUAACCGUAGGGGAACCUGCGGUUGGAUCACCUCCUUACCAAGAAG
rnacentral:rRNA from 1 species